rnacentral:rRNA from 1 species
UAACGAGUAACUGAACAGGUUGUAGCUGGCUUUCGGGGCAUGUGAGCCUGGCUCAUCCACUCUUCAACCUCUGUGACUUGUUGUAGGUCGGCGAAGGGUCACUGUGUAAACGCUGACUUGGAACCCUUCCUAUGUUUUACUACAAACGCUUCGUACGAAUGUAAUCUCUGCGUAUAACGCAUUUAUAUACAACUUUCAGCAACGGAUCUCUUGCGGCCGCAUCGAUCAAGAACGCAGCGAAAUGCGAUAAGUAAUGCGAAUUGCAGAAUCCGGAAUGGAAUCUUGCACGCACCUUGCGCUCCCUGGUAUUCCGGGGAGCAUGCCUGUUUGAGUGUCAUGGUAUUCUCAACCUUCAUAACUUUUUUGUUAUCGAAGGUUGGACUUGGAGGUUUGUGCUGGCUUACUCCUUUAAGCCGCUCCUCUUAAAUGUAUUAGCGUGAGUGUAACGGAUCGCUUCGGGUGAUAAUUAUCUGCGCCGUGGCGUGAAGUAACAUAAGCUUGCGCUUCUAACCGACCUUCAGUUGGACAAUACACUUUGACAUCUGACCUCAAAUCAGGAGGACUACCCG